rnacentral:lncRNA from 1 species
UCCUGGAACUUGUCCCCCACCAUGUCCCCAUGGUGUCCCACCAUCCGAGGUCUACUAGAACUUGUCCCCCCAGUGUCCCCAUGGUGUCCCCCCAGUGUCCCCAUGGUGUCCCACCAUCCGAGGUCUCCUGGAACUUGUCCCCAUGUCCCCACAGUGUCCCCCCAUGGUGUCCUCACCAUCUGAGGUCACCUGGAACUUGUCACAGACACUGUCCCAUGUCCCCCCAAUGUCCCCAUGGUGUCCCACCCUCCGAAGUCUCCUGGAACUUGUCCCCAUGGUGUCCCCACCAUGUCCUCUCAUGUCCCCAUGUGUCCCACCACCCGAGGUCUCCUGGAACUUGUCGCAGACACUGUCCCACGUCCCCACCAUGUUCCACCAUGUCCCCAUGGUGUCCCCAUGGUGUUCCACCAUCCAAGGUCUACUAGAACUUGUCCCCUCCCCAUGUCCCCAUGGUGUCUCCACAUAUUCCCAUCAUGUCCCCCCAGUGUCCCACCAUCCGAGGUCUCCUGGAACUUAUUGUGGACACUGUCCCAUGUCCCCACUGUGUCCCCAUGGUGUCCCCACUGUCCAAGGUCUCCUGGAACUUGUCCCCCCCAUGUCCCUACCAUGUCCCCACGGUGUCCCCCCAUGUUCCAUCAUCCGAGGUCUCCUGGAACUCAUCGCUGAUGCUCCUCCAUGUCCCCCCCAUGUCCCCAUGGUGUCCCCACAGUGUCCCACCAUUAGAUGUCUCCUGGAACUUGUCACAGACACUGUCCCAUGUCCCCAUGGUGUCUCCCCAUGUCCCCUCCAUGGUCCCCAUGGUGUCCCCUUGUCCCCUGGUGUCCCACCAUUAGAGUUCUCCUGGAACUUGUGGAUGCUCCCCCAUGUUCCCACCAUGUCCCCCCCAUGUCUCCAUGGUGUCCCCACCAUCAGAGGUCUCCUGGAACUUCUCCCCAGGUCUCCAUGGUGUCCCACCAUCCAAAAUCUUCUAGAACUUGUCCCCAUUGUGUCCAUCCCAUGUCCCCACGGUGUCCCCACCAUCCGA